UCCCAUACAACUACACUGGUUGAAAUGUUUUACACUCCAAACCAGUCUCAAGGCCUCUCUGUUAAUAUAUGUGUAAUUUUUCUCUGCAGAGGUAACGGAACGUGAUGCAAAGGCUCAGAUGUGUUCACUACCAUCACUCAUAAUAUGUGACAUGACUGCAUCUAUACCAUAAGGCGAGGCAUCACAGACAAGAUUCUCUGGUGAUGUAGAUCAUGAUGUAGGAAUGGCAUUCUGCUAGCAACACCUCGAUGAAGAUCACUUCUGACAAGACUUCUCCAGACUGCAGAGGGAUGCACUUGGAUUCCAGUGAUUUCUAUUCUGCUCAAUUGACUGAGUUCCUCCAGCAGACUGAUCAUUGCAUUGACAACUAUGUUGUCCAGUUGGAUUGAAUCUUCAGUGUGCUUCUCACUGCGCCCAGUUUGGAUUUUGCUUAGAUACUUAGCUCCUGAUAAAGCCCUCAGUCUGGCUGUCAUCUUUUGUGCCAGUGUAGUGGCAGUGUAUGCCAUCUAUGAAUUGAGAUAACUGCCUGAAAUGUAUGGACAUAGGCUACUUGAAGAGUACUCUUCACCAAAAAGAUCGAGUGUAAUAAAGAACAACACCACUUAUAGUUUCUGUACACCAUCAAAUGUUGGUCAUUUGUCCUAGUGUCACCUUAUAUGCCUUCUGUCUGAAGAUUUGUUUCUUCAUAUUUCUGGGACUAUUGCUACAUUCAGCAAACUACA